rnacentral:rRNA from 1 species
AGCGAACGCUGGCGGCAGGCCUAACACAUGCAAGUCGAACGAACCUUUCGGGGUUAGUGGCGGACGGGUGAGUAACACGUGGGAACGUGCCUUUAGGUUCGGAAUAACUCAGGGAAACUUGUGCUAAUACCGAAUGUGCCCUUCGGGGGAAAGAUUUAUCGCCUUUAGAGCGGCCCGCGUCUGAUUAGCUAGUUGGUUGAGGUAAUGGCUCACCAAGGCGACGAUCAGUAGCUGGUCUGAGAGGAUGAUCAGCCACAUUGGGACUGAGACACGGCCCAAACUCCUACGGGAGGCAGCAGUGGGGAAUCUUGCGCAGUGGGCGAAAGCCUGACGCAGCCAUGCCGCGUGAAUGAUGAAGGUCUUAGGAUUGUAAAAUUCUUUCACCGGGGACGAUAAUGACGGUACCCGGAGAAGAAGCCCCGGCUAACUUCGUG